rnacentral:rRNA from 1 species
GACGAACGCUGGCGGCGUGCUUAACACAUGCAAGUCGAACGAAGAGCGAUGGAAGCUUGCUUCUAUCAAUCUUAGUGGCGAACGGGUGAGUAACGCGUAAUCAACCUGCCCUUCAGAGGGGGACAACAGUUGGAAACGACUGCUAAUACCGCAUACGAUCUAAUCUCGGCAUCGAGGAUAGAUGAAAGGUGGCCUCUACAUGUAAGCUAUCACUGAAGGAGGGGAUUGCGUCUGAUUAGCUAGUUGGAGGGGUAACGGCCCACCAAGGCGAUGAUCAGUAGCCGGUCUGAUAGGAUGAACGGCCACAUUGGGACUGAGACACGGCCCAGACUCCUACGGGAGGCAGCAGUGGGGAAUCUUCCGCAAUGGACGAAAGUCUGACGGAGCAACGCCGCGUGAGUGAUGACGGCCUUCGGGUUGUAAAGCUCUGUUAAUCGGGACGAAAGGCCUUCUUGCGAAUAGUGAGAAGGAUUGACGGUACCGGAAUAGAAAGCCACGGCUAACUACGUG